rnacentral:rRNA from 1 species
ACUCAAAGGAAUUGACGGGGGCCCGCACAAGCGGUGGAGUAUGUGGUUUAAUUCGAAGCAACGCGAAGAACCUUACCAGCUCUUGACAUGGGGAUUAUGGAUUUAAGAGAUUAAAUCCUUCGGUUCGGCCGGGUCCCACACAGGUGCUGCAUGGCUGUCGUCAGCUCGUGUCGUGAGAUGUUGGGUUAAGUCCCGCAACGAGCGCAACCCUCAUCGUUAAUUGCCAUCAGGUUGGGCUGGGCACUUUAACGAAACCGCCGGUGAUAAGCCGGAGGAAGGUGGGGAUGACGUCAAGUCCUCAUGGCCCUUAUGGGCUGGGCUACACACGUACUACAAUGGCGGUGACAAUGGGCAGCAAUAGGGCAACCUUGAGCAAAUCCAUAAAAACCGUCUCAGUUCGGAUUGUUCUCUGCAACUCGAGAGCAUGAAGUUGGAAUCGCUAGUAAUCGCGCAUCAGCAUGGCGCGGUGAAUACGUUCACGGGCCUUGCACACACCGCCCGU